rnacentral:rRNA from 1 species
AUUGAACGCUGGCGGCAUGCCUUACACAUGCAAGUCGAACGGCAGCACGGGGGCAACCCUGGUGGCGAGUGGCGAACGGGUGAGUAAUGCAUCGAAACGUGCCCAGUAGUGGGGGAUAACCAGUCGAAAGACUGGCUAAUACCGCAUACGACCUAAGGGUGAAAGCGGGGGAUCGCAAGACCUCGCGCUAUUGGAGCGGCCGAUGUCUGAUUAGCUAGUUGGCGGGGUAAAGGCCCACCAAGGCGACGAUCAGUAGCUGGUCUGAGAGGACGACCAGCCACACUGGGACUGAGACACGGCCCAGACUCCUACGGGAGGCAGCAGUGGGGAAUUUUGGACAAUGGGCGCAAGCCUGAUCCAGCCAUGCCGCGUGCGGGAAGAAGGCCUUCGGGUUGUAAACCGCUUUUGGCAGGAACGAAACGGCGAUCCCUAAUACGGGUCGCUAAUGACGGUACCUGCAGAAUAAGCACCGGCUAACUACGUGCCAGCCGCCGCAGUAACAC